UACGUAGGGGGCGAGCGUUGUCCGGAUUUAUUGGGCGUAAAGAGCUCGUAGGCGGUUCGAUAAGUCGGACGUGAAAUCUCCACGCUCAACGUGGAGCGUGCGGUCGAUACGGGCAGACUUGAGUUCGGUAGGGGAGACUGGAAUUCCUGGUGUAGCGGUGAAAUGCGCAGAUAUCAGGAGGAACACCGGUGGCGAAGGCGGGUCUCUGGGCCGAUACUGACGCUGAGGAGCGAAAGCGUGGGGAGCGAACAGG
rnacentral:rRNA from 1 species